rnacentral:lncRNA from 1 species
CCCGCCCCUCGCAGCCUUGCCGCGCCCCGUGCGCCCUGUCCGCCCCUCGCUCGCAUUGCAGGCAUCCUGAGUCUCGGCCCUUUUCGCCAAAUCGCUGCUCUGCCGCGCGCCUACGCAAGGAAAGAUUCAAGGGUCCCUCCACUUCAGGGAGUGGAGCCCGCGCCUCGGCACGGAUCAGCUGUGCGUCUCCUUUGGCCUACUGGCUCCUCUGCUUGUGUCUAUAGCUAGCUGGACGCAUCGUGACUUUAUCUUCUCAUCUUUCCUGGCGCCCCCAGACGCAUUUCCUGGUCCCUCGAGGCAGCGGCGUCUGGGGAGUGCACUUUGCACAGACAGGGAAACCGAGGCACUCAGCGGUCUCCAAUGGAGACGCUGUAAUCGCAUUCCACGACCAGCUAGCGCUAUAAGCGCUGCCUCUAAAGCGGAAGGCCUCCCAGUCCUUCUCGACAGGAAGCAAUAUUUGCAUAUCUAAGGAGAACAAGAUUCGGCAAUGUGCUCCGGGAGCAAGUGCAGGCAUGGAACGGUAUGGGCUGGAGGGGGACAGACCUUCAGAGGCGGCUGCCCGUUCCCUGUAGUGUCACAUAAGAUUUUUAGAAGAUAGGAGUUUUCACAGUGGCGGCAGAGCCCUCUGCUAAAUCCUCAUAUUAGAUGUCAAAGGUGGCAUGUCAUUUGACCCAAUGGCUUUUUUAGUCAUUUAUCUUCCUAACACCUAUGAGAGGGCUACAGUUACCAAAAUGGCAUGGUACUGGUACAUAAAC